AGCGGGUGCGGAGCGUUCCGUAAGCCUGCGAAGGUGCACUGUGAGGUGCGCUGGAGGUAUCGGAAGUGAGAAUGUUGACAUGAGUAGCGACAAAGCGGGUGAGAGACCCGCUCGCCGAAAAUCCAAGGGUUCCUGCGUAAAGCUAAUCUGCGCAGGGUUAGCCGGCCCCUAAGGCGAGGCCGAAAGGCGUAGUCGAUGGGAACCAGGUUAAUAUUCCUGGGCCUCUCGGGAGUUGACGGAUCGUGGUGAUUGUUCGUCCUUAUCGGAUUGGACGGGCGAUGAAGCGGUCCCUGGAAAUAGCCUCGAGAAUAGACCGUACCCGAAACCGACACAGGUGGGAUGGUAGAGUAUACCAAGGCGCUUGAGAGAACCGCGUUGAAGGAACUCGGCAAAAUACCCCCGUAACUUCGGGAUAAGGGGGCCCUUGCAUUGGGCAACCAGUGUGAGGGGGCACGGAAACGAGGGUGGCGACUGUUUACUAAAAACACAGGGCUCUGCGAAGUGGCUAACACGACGUAUAGGGUCUGACGCCUGCCCGGUGCCGGAAGGUUAAGAGGAGAUGUGAGAG
rnacentral:rRNA from 1 species